AAAGACAAGACUUUCUUGAGCACGAGGUUACCUUCUCGGAACACACGAGGCUUGACCUUCUUAUCGAAUGCUUUCUUCAUUCUCUGCUGAUAUAACUGACCAUGGCACAUGGCAGUCAAUCUCUUCUUUUCGAUCAGAUCCAGUCGGUCGUAACGACUCUGAAUUCAUUCAGCAUCAGUCAACUUGGGACUUUGAGGGUGCUAUUUCUCUUUUGUUUCUUUCUUUCUUUUUUUCUUGAUUUUGAUUUUGAUUUUUCUUUUGAUUUUGAUUUUGAUUUUCACCCAUGAUUUUCACCCUCCUCUUUUUUUGUUUUUUUGUUUUUGAUUACAUUUGUAUUGCCCCAGUUGGACUGUUUUGUUGAUUCUCG
rnacentral:lncRNA from 1 species